rnacentral:rRNA from 1 species
UGAGGAAUUUUGCGCAAUGGGGGAAACCCUGACGCAGCAACGCCGCGUGAGUGAUGAAGGCCUUCGGGUCGUAAAGCUCUGUCAAGUGGGAAGAAUCUGUGGUAUGUAAAUAUCAUAUUGCAAUGACGGUACCACUGAAGGAAGCACCGGCUAACUCCGUGCCAGCAGCCGCGGUAAUACGGAGGGUGCAAGCGUUAUUCGGAAUUACUGGGCGUAAAGGGCGCGUAGGCGGCUUUUUAAGUCAGAUGUGAAAGCCCGGAGCUUAACUCCGGAAGUGCAUCUGAAACUAAAAAGCUUGAGUAUGGGAGAGGGAAGUGGAAUUCCUGGUGUAGAGGUGAAAUUCGUAGAUAUCAGGAGGAACACCGGUGGCGAAGGCGACUUCCUGGACCAAUACUGACGCUGAGGCGCGAAGGCGUGGGGAGCAAACA